CAUGUAGGCGGUUUUGUAAGCCUGGUGUGAAAUCCUGCAGCUUAACUGUAGAAUUGCAUUGGGUACUGCAAGACUUGAAUCACAGAGGGGAAACUAGAAUUCCAGGUGUAGGGGUGGAAUCUGUAGAUAUCUGGAAGAAUACCGGUGGCGAAGGCGGGUUUCUAGCUGAUGAUUGACGCUGAGGUGCGAAAGUGCGGGGAGCAAACA
rnacentral:rRNA from 1 species